rnacentral:rRNA from 1 species
GGCAGACGGGUGAGUAAAAUGUGGGUAUCUUCCCUUUGGUGAGGAAUAACACGAGGAAACUUGUGCUAAUACCUCAUAAGUCUUUACGGAGAAAACUUUAUGCGCCAAUGGAUGAGCCUGCACUUGAUUAGUUUGUUGGUGGGGUAAUGGCCUACCAAGACUUUGAUCAAUAGCUGAUCUGAGAGGAUGAUCAGCCACAUUGGGACUGAGACACGGCCCAAACUCCUACGGGAGGCAGCAGUAGGGAAUAUUGCACAAUGGAGGAAACUCUGAUGCAGCGAUGCCGCGUGAGUGAAGAAGGCCUUUGGGUUGUAAAGCUCUUUCGUCGGGGAAGAAAAUGACGGUACCCGAAUAAGAAGGUCCGGCUAACUUCGUGCCAGCAGCCGCGGUAAUACGAAGGGACCUAGCGUAGUUCGGAAUUACUGGGCUUAAAGAGUUCGUAGGUGGUUAAAAAAGUUGGUUGUGAAAUCCCGAAGCUUAACUUCGGAACUGCAAUCAAAACUUUUUAGCUAGAGUAUGAUAGAGGAAAGCAGAAUUUCUAGUGUAGAGGUGAAGUUCGUAGAUAUUAGAAAGAAUACCAAUUGCGAAGGCAGCUUUCUGGAUCAUUACUGACGCUGAGGAACGAAAGCAUGGGUAGCGAAGAGGAUUAGAUACCCUCGUAGUCCAUGCCGUAAACGAUGUGUGUUAGACGUUGGAAAUUUAUUUUCAGUGUCGCAGCGAAAGCAGUAAAUACAC